AUCAGCGUCUUCUAAUCUGGAUCAAGAACGCGGCUUGCGAAGCCACGGAACGCAGGUUCGAAUCCUGCCGCUGAUA
rnacentral:tRNA from 2 species